GCUCUGGUUCCUGAUCAGUGAGGUUCCAGUCUUCAAAGCAGUUCCUGAUGUUCUCCUCGAAAAUGCCUUUCCAAGUCAGUGGAAAUUUGGCCAUGCUCAGCAUGGAGACUGGAAAGCGCCUGCUCAAAGUUUGCAGAAUGAAUCCGUCUAACCUGACAGCUUCUGAUUCCUGGCUCACCAGAAGAUUACAACAGGACUCUUGCAUUCUUUGGGGAUAUUUUGUACUUCAGGACAAGUGCUGAGCCAAUAUUUUUCAUCC